rnacentral:rRNA from 1 species
CUACGGGUCGCUCCAGUGGGGAAUAUUGGACAAUGGGGGAAACCCUGAUCCAGCAAUGCCGCGUGUGUGAAGAAGGCCUGCGGGUUGUAAAGCACUUUCGGUUGGGAGGACUGCUUCUAGCACUAAUAUUGUUGGAAGUUGACGUUACCUUCAGAAGAAGCACCGGCUAACUCCGUGCCAGCAGCCGCGGUAAUACGGAGGGUGCAAGCGUUAAUCGGAAUUACUGGGCGUAAAGCGCGCGUAGGCGGCUAGAUCAGUCGGGUGUGAAAGCCCCGGGCUUAACCUGGGAACUGCAUCCGAUACUGUCUAGCUUGAGUACAGGAGAGGAGAGUGGAAUUCCACAUGUAGCGGUGAAAUGCGUAGAUAUGUGGAGGAACACCAAUGGCGAAGGCAGCUCUCUGGCCUGAUACUGACGCUGAGGUGCGAAAGCGUGGGGAGUAAACAGGAUUAGAUACCCGUGUAGUC